rnacentral:rRNA from 2 species
UUAUCCUCCCUCAAACCCCGGGUUUGGUGUUGGACCCGAGUUGUGCAUCUGAACAACUGGUCUCAAAGACAA